AGGGUUUGAUCAUGGCUCAGGAUGAACGCUGGCGGUAUGCCUAACACAUGCAAGUCGUACGAGAGUUUUUAACUCAAGUGGCGGACGGGUGAGUAACACGUGAGAAUUUGCCUUUAGGAGGGGGAUAACAGAGUGAAAACGCUGCUAAUACCCCAUAUGCUUUCGAGUGAAAUGGAUUUAUUCGCCUAAAGAGAAGCUCGCGGCUGAUUAGCUUGUUGGUAAGGUAAUGGCUUACCAAGGCGACGAUCAGUAUCUGGUUUGAGAGGACGAUCAGACACACUGGAACUGAGACACGGUCCAGACUCCUACGGGAGGCAGCAGUGGGGAAUUUUCCGCAAUGGGCGAAAGCCUGACGGAGCAAUACCGCGUGAGGGAUGACGGCCUAUGGGUUGUAAACCUCUUUUCUCAGGGAGGAAAUCAAUGACGUUACCUGAGGAAUAAGCAUCGGCUAACUCCGUGCCAGCAGCCGCGGUAAGACGGAGGAUGCAAGUGUUAUCCGGAAUCACUGGGCGUAAAGCGUCUGUAGGUGGCUUAACAAGUCAACUGUUAAAUCUUGAAGCUCAACUUCGAAAUCGCAGUCGAAACUGUUAGGCUAGAGUAUAGUAGGGGUAAAGGGAAUUUCCAGUGGAGCGGUGAAAUGCGUAGAGAUUGGAAAGAACACCGAUGGCGAAGGCACUUUACUGGGCUAUUACUGACACUCAGAGACGAAAGCUAGGGUAGCAAAUG
rnacentral:rRNA from 1 species